rnacentral:rRNA from 1 species
AACGUAGGAGACAACCGUUAUCCGGAGUUACUGGGCGUAAAGGGCGUGUAGGUGGUCGUGUAAGUCUGGCGUGAAAUUUUUCGGCUUAACCGGGAAAGGUCGUCGGAUACUGCACAACUAGAGGACGGUAGAGGCGUGUGGAAUUCCGGGUGUAGUGGUGAAAUGCGUAGAGAUCCGGAGGAACACCAGUGGCGAAGGCGACACGCUGGGCCGUACCUGACACUGAUGCGCGACAGCAUGGGGAGCAAACAGG